GUUUCAUUUAAAUUUAUAAUAAAAUUUUAUUUUUUAGUUAAAAAGCUAAAAUAUUUUUAAAAGACGAGAAGACCCUAUAAAUCUUUAUAUUUAAUUUUGUUUUAAUUUAUUUAGAUAAAUUUUAUUUUAAUAAAAUUAAAUAUUUUAUUGGGGUGAUAUUAAAAUUUAAUGAACUUUUAAUUAAAAUUUUCAUAAAUAAAUGUUUUUUUGAUCCAUUAUUAAUGAUUAAAAAUUUAAGUUACUUUAGGGAUAACAGCGUAAUUUUUUUAGAGAGUUCAUAUUGAUAAAAAAGUUUGCGACCUCGAUGUUGGAUUAAGAUAUAUUUUUAAAUGCAGAAGUUUAAAUAUUAAGUCUGUUCGACUUUUAAAUUCUUACAUGAUCUGAGUUCAAACCGGUGUAAGCCAGGUUGGUUUCUAUCUUUAAAUAUAUAAAAUAUUUUAGUACGAAAGGAUUAAAUAUUUGAAUUAUAAAAUUUUAUAUUUAGAAU
rnacentral:rRNA from 1 species